AACGAACGCUGGCGGCAGGCUUAACACAUGCAAGUCGAGCGCCCCGCAAGGGGAGCGGCAGACGGGUGAGUAACGCGUGGGAACGUACCUUUUGGUUCGGAACAACUCCGGGAAACUGGAGCUAAUACCGGAUAAGCCCUAACGGGGAAAGAUUUAUCGCCGAAAGAUCGGCCCGCGUCUGAUUAGCUAGUUGGUGAGGUAACGGCUCACCAAGGCGACGAUCAGUAGCUGGUCUGAGAGGAUGAUCAGCCACACUGGGACUGAGACACGGCCCAGACUCCUACGGGAGGCAGCAGUGGGGAAUAUUGGACAAUGGGCGCAAGCCUGAUCCAGCCAUGCCGCGUGAGUGAUGAAGGCCUUAGGGUUGUAAAGCUCUUUUGUCCGGGAAGAUAAUGACUGGACCGGAAGAAUAAGCCCCGGCUAACUUCGU
rnacentral:rRNA from 1 species